rnacentral:miRNA from 1 species
AUGUAUUCAUCCUCAAACAGA